rnacentral:rRNA from 1 species
UGUCAACGCUUCGCCCCAUACCUCGCGGUAUGCAACGCAUGACUCGGGGACCUUGUGGAUUGCUGGUCCUUCAAUGGUCGGGGACUUUCACCCCUUGAUCUCUACCGGCGAUGUCCGAAUGGGGAAACCCAGUGCAAUUCGUUGCACUAUCGUUAACUGAAUACAUAGGUUAACGAGGCGAACCGGGGGAACUGAAACAUCUAAGUACCCCGAGGAAAAGAAAUCAACCGAGAUUCCCCCAGUAGCGGCGAGCGAACGGGGAGCAGCCCAGAGUCUGAAUCAGCUUGUGUGUUAGUGGAACGGUCUGGAAAGUCCGACGGUACAGGGUGAUAGUCCCGUACACCAAAAUGCACAGGUUGUGAACUCGAAGAGUAGGGCGGGACACGUGGUAUCCUGUCUGAAUAUGGGGGGACCAUCCUCCAAGGCUAAAUACUCCUGACUGACCGAUAGUGAACCAGUACCGUGAGGGAAAGGCGAAAAGAACCCCGGCGAGGGGAGUGAAAAAGAACCUGAAACCGUGUACGUACAAGCAGUGGGAGCACCUUCGGGUGUGACUGCGUACCUUUUGUAUAAUGGGUCAGCGACUUAUAUUCUGUAGCAAGGUUAACCGUAUAGGGGAGCCGCAGGGAAACCGAGUCUUAACUGGGCGUUAAGUUGCAGGGUAUAGACCCGAAACCCGGUGAUCUAGCCAUGGGCAGGUUGAAGGUUGGGUAACACUAACUGGAGGACCGAACCGACUAAUGUUGAAAAAUUAGCGGAUGACUUGUGGCUGGGGGUGAAAGGCCAAUCAAACCGGGAGAUAGCUGGUUCUCCCCGAAAGCUAUUUAGGUAGCGCCUCGUGAACUCAUCUUCGGGGGUAGAGCACUGUUUCGGCUAGGGGGUCAUCCCGACUUACCAACCCGAUGCAAACUACGAAUACCGAAGAAUGUUAUCACGGGAGACACACGGCGGGUGCUAACGUCCGUCGUGAAGAGGGAAACAACCCAGACCGCCAGCUAAGGUCCCAAAGUCAUGGUUAAGUGGGAAACGAUGUGGGAAGGCACAGACAGCCAGGAUGUUGGCUUAGAAGCAGCCAUCAUUUAAAGAAAGCGUAAUAGCUCACUGGUCGAGUCGGCCUGCGCGGAAGAUGUAACGGGGCUAAACCAUGCACCGAAGCUGCGGCAGCGACACGAUGUGUUGUUGGGUAGGGGAGCGUUCUGUAAGCCUGCGAAGGUGACCUGUGAGGGUUGCUGGAGGUAUCAGAAGUGCGAAUGCUGACAUAAGUAACGAUAAAGCGGGUGAAAAGCCCGCUCGCCGGAAGACCAAGGGUUCCUGUCCAACGUUAAUCGGGGCAGGGUGAGUCGACCCCUAAGGCGAGGCCGAAAGGCGUAGUCGAUGGGAAACAGGUUAAUAUUCCUGUACUUGGUGUUACUGCGAAGGGGGGACGGAGAAGGCUAUGUUAGCCGGGCGACGGUUGUCCCGGUUUAAGCAUGUAGGCUGGUUAUCCAGGCAAAUCCGGAUAAUCAAGGCUGAGGUGUGAUGACGAGGCACUACGGUGCUGAAGUAACAAAUGCCCUGCUUCCAGGAAAAGCCUCUAAGCAUCAGGUAACAUCAAAUCGUACCCCAAACCGACACAGGUGGUCAGGUAGAGAAUACCAAGGCGCUUGAGAGAACUCGGGUGAAGGAACUAGGCAAAAUGGUGCCGUAACUUCGGGAGAAGGCACGCUGGUGUGUAGGUGAAGCCCCUGCGGGUGGAGCUGAGACCAGUCGAAGAUACCAGCUGGCUGCAACUGUUUAUUAAAAACACAGCACUGUGCAAACACGAAAGUGGACGUAUACGGUGUGACGCCUGCCCGGUGCCGGAAGGUUAAUUGAUGGGGUUAUCCGUAAGGAGAAGCUCUUGAUCGAAGCCCCGGUAAACGGCGGCCGUAACUAUAACGGUCCUAAGGUAGCGAAAUUCCUUGUCGGGUAAGUUCCGACCUGCACGAAUGGCGUAAUGAUGGCCAGGCUGUCUCCACCCGAGACUCAGUGAAAUUGAACUCGCUGUGAAGAUGCAGUGUACCCGCGGCAAGACGGAAAGACCCCGUGAACCUUUACUAUAGCUUGACACUGAACAUUGAGCCUUGAUGUGUAGGAUAGGUGGGAGGCUUUGAAGCGUGGACGCCAGUCUGCGUGGAGCCAACCUUGAAAUACCACCCUUUAAUGUUUGAUGUUCUAACGUUGGCCCCUGACCGGGGUUGCGGACAGUGUCUGGUGGGUAGUUUGACUGGGGCGGUCUCCUCCCAAAGCGUAACGGAGGAGCACGAAGGUUAGCUAAUCCUGGUCGGACAUCAGGAGGUUAGUGCAAUGGCAUAAGCUAGCUUGACUGCGAGCGUGACGGCGCGAGCAGGUGCGAAAGCAGGUCAUAGUGAUCCGGUGGUUCUGAAUGGAAGGGCCAUCGCUCAACGGAUAAAAGGUACUCCGGGGAUAACAGGCUGAUACCGCCCAAGAGUUCAUAUCGACGGCGGUGUUUGGCACCUCGAUGUCGGCUCAUCACAUCCUGGGGCUGAAGUAGGUCCCAAGGGUAUGGCUGUUCGCCAUUUAAAGUGGUACGCGAGCUGGGUUUAGAACGUCGUGAGACAGUUCGGUCCCUAUCUGCCGUGGGCGCUGGAGAAUUGAGGGGGGCUGCUCCUAGUACGAGAGGACCGGAGUGGACGCAUCACUGGUGUUCGGGUUGUCAUGCCAAUGGCACUGCCCGGUAGCUAAAUGCGGAAGAGAUAAGUGCUGAAAGCAUCUAAGCACGAAACUUGCCCCGAGAUGAGUUCUCCCUGAGACUUUAAGUCUCCUGAAGGAACGUUAAAGACGAUGACGUUGAUAGGCCGGGUGUGUAAGCGCAGCGAUGCGUUGAGCUAACCGGUACUAAUGAACCGUGAGGCUUAACCUU